rnacentral:rRNA from 1 species
GACGAACGCUGGCGGCGUGCCUAGUACAUGCAAGUAGAACGCUGAAACUUGGUGCUUGCACCGAGCGGAUGAGUUGCGAACGGGUGAGUAACGCGUAGGUAACCUGCCUGGUAGCGGGGGAUAACUAUUGGAAACGAUAGCUAAUACCGCAUAAGAGUAGAUGUUGCAUGACAUUUGCUUAAAAGGUGCAAUUGCACCACUACCAGAUGGACCUGCGUUGUAUUAGCUAGUUGGUGGGGUAACGGCUCACCAAGGCGACGAUACAUAGCCGACCUGAGAGGGUGAUCGGCCACACUGGGACUGAGACACGGCCCAGACUCCUACGGGAGGCAGCAGUAGGGAAUCUUCGGCAAUGGACGGAAGUCUGACCGAGCAACGCCGCGUGAGUGAAGAAGGUUGUCGGAUCGUAAAGCUCGGUUGUAAGAGAAGAACGAGUGUGAGAGUGGAAAGUUCACACUGUGACGGUAGCUGACCAGAAAGGGACGGCUAACUACGUG